rnacentral:rRNA from 1 species
GGGUUGUGAGGUUAAGCGACUAAGCGUACACGGUGGAUGCCCUGGCAGUCAGAGGCGAUGAAGGACGUGCUAAUCUGCGAAAAGCGUCGGUAAGGUGAUAUGAACCGUUAUAACCGGCGAUGUCCGAAUGGGGAAACCCAGUGUGAUUCGUCACACUAUCGUUAACUGAAUACAUAGGUUAACGAGGCGAACCGGGGGAACUGAAACAUCUAAGUACCCCGAGGAAAAGAAAUCAACCGAGAUUCCCCCAGUAGCGGCGAGCGAACGGGGAGCAGCCCAGAGUCUGAAUCAGCUUGUGUGUUAGUGGAACGGUCUGGAAAGUCCGACGGUACAGGGUGAUAGUCCCGUACACCAAAAUGCACAGGCUGUGAACUCGAAGAGUAGGGCGGGACACGUGGUAUCCUGUCUGAAUAUGGGGGGACCAUCCUCCAAGGCUAAAUACUCCUGACUGACCGAUAGUGAACCAGUACCGUGAGGGAAAGGCGAAAAGAACCCCGGCGAGGGGAGUGAAAAAGAACCUGAAACCGUGUACGUACAAGCAGUGGGAGCACCUUCGGGUGUGACUGCGUACCUUUUGUAUAAUGGGUCAGCGACUUAUAUUCUGUAGCAAGGUUAACCGUAUAGGGGAGCCGCAGGGAAACCGAGUCUUAACUGGGCGUUAAGUUGCAGGGUAUAGACCCGAAACCCGGUGAUCUAGCCAUGGGCAGGUUGAAGGUUGGGUAACACUAACUGGAGGACCGAACCGACUAAUGUUGAAAAAUUAGCGGAUGACUUGUGGCUGGGGGUGAAAGGCCAAUC